UACAGAGGUCUCAAGCGUUGUUCGGAUUCAUUGGGCGUAGAGGGUGCGUAGGUGGCGUGGUAAGUCGGGUGUGAAAUUUCGGAGCUUAACUCCGAAACUGCGUUCGAUACUGCCGUGCUUGAGGACUGGAGAGGAGACUGGAAUUUACGGUGUAGCAGUGAAAUGCGUAGAGAUCGUAAGGAAGACCAGUGGCGAAGGCGGGUCUCUGGACAGUUCCUGACACUGAGGCACGAAGGCCAGGGGAGCAAACGGGG
rnacentral:rRNA from 1 species